GGCGGUUUGUCCGAGUGGUUAAGGAGUUGGACUUGAAAUCCAAUGGGCUCUGCCCGCGCAGGUUCGAACCCUGCAGCCGUCG
rfam:Eimeria maxima Weybridge genomic scaffold, Emw_scaff239